CCAACAAAAAAAAAGUUGAACGUGAAAGAGGUAAUCAGACCCCCGUACCAUCUCUCUUCCCUUCUUCUUUCCCUCUGCUCCUUCUGAUCAUGCUCUCCUUUCCUGCUUUUGAAUUUUGAAAUAGAGGUUUUGAAUUUGAAAGCCUCUCUCUCUGUGUUCCAUAUUCUUUCAUCUUUCACGCCUCUCUCCUCCCUCUCUAUCCUUUUCUUUCUCUCUUGUAUUGAUCACCAAUUUAGAAAAAAGUCUACUAACGUUCCAUUUCAAAAUUAGGAGAAAGUUUUAAGCAUAGGGGGUACCCUAAUUUCAUUGCAAAGUUCAAAUACACUUAAAUUCUUUGACAUACGUUCUCUCUCUUACUCUCACUCUCAAUUUCGAUUUCAAAGUUCUUUAUGUUUUCUCUCCCAAAUUCCGGCAACGGCUGCAAUGUUUUCUGGACGGAUCAGGUGGAACCGGUAUCCAUGGUCCUCAUGUUUGAUGAGCACGCGUUGAACAAAUCCAGCGAAAAGAUUAGAUCCGAUAGUUAGAAUGAUGGCGGCGGUUAGGGUUUCUUCAAGCUAUUGAUAGCGGCUGUUGUUGUUGCAAUUUGGAGAAGAAUCAACCACGAAUCCAGAAGAACCCUAACCACAACAAAUCUAGCUAAAUCCAUUUACCUGCAGCAAGUAUCAGAUUUUGAUUUGUUCACACUUUAUGAUAUUGAUUCUGGCUUUCAAAAUGUGACAAGGUUAACCUGCUCUCAGAAUUGUCAUUGGUACGGAAAAGGGGAGGUUAUUGUGAUUGCACCUCAUGUUGCUGGUCAUCUUUUGGGAGACCUUCAACAUUGCUCAAUCUACAAAGCUUGGGAGAAUGGCAGCAGUUUGUUAUGUACUCUUAAGCUAUGAAAGGACUAUAACUACAUUAUGUUACAAAAUAAGUGUGCAUUAUCAAAGAUGUAAUUAAUGUUGAAUCUUUUAAGUAACAUUCAUAAAUUAUUAGAACAGGACUGAGGCGGUUUUCAACCCUCCAAUCCGUUCGUUCCCACUGAUAUUUUUUUGUCUACGGGUUGGCGGGAAAAUGGGCGGGUCAGAACGGGUUGACUAAGUGAAUGAAAGUGUAACUUUUAAUGGGUCAUUCCAUUUGAAACUUCAUACUUAUAUAUGCUUUUGUUUGAAACAAAUUGAUAGAAAAUUUAUGCUGAAUUUUUCUGCCAUUGAGAUUUUCAACGAAAAACCUUAUUGCAGAUGGUACUCCACGUCUCCAUUUAGACUAUUGGAUGAUCAUGAGGUAGCCAAAUGAGCAAGAUUGUAUAGAGCUAAGAGGAUCAUAGGUGUUGAUGUGAACCAGGACAAGUAGGGAACUGGACACAAGAGCUGCGAUGGCAACCAAGAGAUUAAACGACUGUUUUUUACCAGAAGAUGUGAGUCAUGUUAAAAUUACCAGCCUCUUUUUGUUUUUUUUUCCUAUCAACAUGAUUUUUGUCGCCUAUCUUCGUUUGAAGUUUAUUUAGUCUUCUAAGGGGGUAUUUAGUUUGAGGGUUUGAAUUUGAAGGUACGGAUUUGAUAGCUUUGAGUAUGCUUGGUUUUUAAAAGCGCGCCUGAGGCGCGCCUAGGCGUGAGGCGACCUCAGGAUGGUCAUCGCUUUUACUUACGGAACUCCCUUCAACCAUACAAUCCGUCUUGGCCUUUUUCUCAAUUGUGGUCUUCUCUAUUUUAAUCCAUCUUGGGUUUUUUUGUUCAUCUAAGUAAAAGCGUUUGUAGCCUAGAUCAUGGUGUAUUUUCUAGAUGAUACACUUCAUUAUAAAGACUGUUCCGUUAGAAAAGAUGAGGUAAACAUUUGUGGGAGCAAUUUCGUUCUUUCAAGAAUGAUUCCAGAAGUGAAGAGUUCUACUGUUUGCCCUUUAAUCUCAAUAGAUAUUUCUCAUCCGUCCGUUUGAUAUGACGGGGUUCCUUUUGGUCACAUAUGAUGUAUCUAGAAUUUGUAAUCAUGUCAUAGAGGUUUGGUCACCGAGGAGAUUCUUUUAGAUUUAUUAAUUAUAUCAUUUUCCAUCUUCACAUAUUCAAAAUUAUAGGUUUGUGAACUAUGCU